rnacentral:rRNA from 1 species
UACGUAGGGGGCAAGCGUUGUCCGGAAUCAUUGGGCGUAAAGCGCGUGUAGGCGGUCCGGUAAGUCCGCUGUGAAAGUCGGGGGCUCAACCCUCGGAUGCCGGUGGAUACUGUCGGGCUUGAGUACGGAAGAGGCGAGUGGAAUUCCUGGUGUAGCGGUGAAAUGCGCAGAUAUUAGGAAGAACACCAGUGGCGAAGGCGGCUCACUGGCCCGGUACUGACGCUGAGGCGCGAAAGCUAGGGGAGCAAACAGG